ACAUGUCUGCCUAAAGUUUAAGAGAACAUUUUCCAAGCGCCAAAGAAAUGGAGAAUUAUUUCAGAAAUCAAGAGCAAGAAAGAAGAAGAGAGCACAUGAGAGCAUAAUGGACCCGACAAAAUAAUGAUUUCAACAACACCAUGAAUGACAUGCAUGAUCUUUUCUGCGGUGAUAACAUGUGAAGAAGACAUGUAGCAAGUGUGAAACUUCUAUAAGUUUUUUAUUUAUUUAUUUUCUAAUGUAUGCCCAACGGAGAGUAAUAG
rnacentral:lncRNA from 1 species